CCUACGGGGGGCAGCAGUAGGGAAUCUUCCGCAAUGGACGAAAGUCUGACGGAGCAACGCCGCGUGAGUGAUGAAGGUUUUCGGAUCGUAAAGCUCUGUUGUUAGGGAAGAACAAGUACCGUUCGAAUAGGGCGGUACCUUGACGGUACCUAACCAGAAAGCCACGGCUAACUACGUGCCAGCAGCCGCGGUAAUACGUAGGUGGCAAGCGUUGUCCGGAAUUAUUGGGCGUAAAGGGCUCGCAGGCGGUUUCUUAAGUCUGAUGUGAAAGCCCCCGGCUCAACCGGGGAGGGUCAUUGGAAACUGGGGAACUUGAGUGCAGAAGAGGAGAGUGGAAUUCCACGUGUAGCGGUGAAAUGCGUAGAGAUGUGGAGGAACACCAGUGGCGAAGGCGACUCUCUGGUCUGUAACUGACGCUGAGGAGCGAAAGCGUGGGGAGCGAACAGGAUUAGAUACCCUGGUAGUCCACGCCGUAAACGAUGAGUGCUAAGUGUUAGGGGGUUUCCGCCCCUUAGUGCUGCAGCUAACGCAUAAGCACUCCGCCUGGAGACUGCAGUA
rnacentral:rRNA from 1 species